AACUAGCUGAAACACAAAUGUGUCAUUUGUGAUGUCGUAAGGGAGAAUAUGAUUACCUUACUAAUAGUGUCGUCCAAAACUGGUGCCAGAAGACUCGGUAUGGCCAGAGACGCAAACGUUAAUCCUCUUAAACAGGCGUAAAGGGUUUGUAGCCAUCUUUGAAAGUCUCAAGUUUAAAAUAGCUAUAGUAAAUUUGAGAUGAAUUAAAAGAUUGAAUCAAAUAGAGGUUAAAUAAAUAAUACUUAGAGGAGGGAUUAAAUCCGUAGAACCUAAGGGGAAUACUAAGGGCGAAAGCAUUUUACCACUAAUGAUUGACGGUGAGAAACGAAGGUGAGGAUAGGAAAUAGGAUUAGAUACCCCGGUACCCCUCUCUGUCAACGAUGAAUGGUAGUUCCUAGUUUAACAACUAGAGACGAUGUUAACACGUUAACCAUUCCGCCUUGUGAGUACGACUGCAAAGUUGAAAACAAAAAAAUUAGUCGGUCUCGAAGCAA
rnacentral:rRNA from 1 species